rnacentral:tRNA from 2 species
GACUUAAAAUCCGUUGGCUUUAUUGACCGUGAGGGUUCAAGUCCCUCUAUCCCCA